GACGAACGCUGGCGGCGUGCUUAACACAUGCAAGUCGAACGGAAAGGCCCUGCUUUUGUGGGGUGCUCGAGUGGCGAACGGGUGAGUAACACGUGAGUAACCUGCCCUUGACUUUGGGAUAACUUCAGGAAACUGGGGCUAAUACCGGAUAGGAGCUCCUGCUGCAUGGUGGGGGUUGGAGAGUUUCGGCGGUUGGGGAUGAACUCGCGGCUUAUCAGCUUGUUGGUGGGGUAGUGGCUUACCAAGGCUUUGACGGGUAGCCGGCCUGAGAGGGUGACCGGCCACAUUGGGACUGAGAUACGGCCCAGACUCCUACGGGAGGCAGCAGUGGGGAAUAUUGCACAAUGGGCGGAAGCCUGAUGCAGCAACGCCGCGUGCGGGAUGACGGCCUUCGGGUUGUAAACCGCUUUCGCCUGUGACGAAGCGUGAGUGACGGUAAUGGGUAAAGAAGCACCGGCUAACUACGUG
rnacentral:rRNA from 1 species